rnacentral:rRNA from 1 species
UACGUAGGGUGCGAGCGUUGUCCGGAAUUACUGGGCGUAAAGAGCUCGUAGGUGGUUUGUCGCGUUGUCCGUGAAAACUCACAACUCAAUUGUGGGCGUGCGGGCGAUACGGGCAGACUGGAGUACUGCAGGGGAGACUGGAAUUCCUGGUGUAGCGGUGGAAUGCGCAGAUAUCAGGAGGAACACCGGUGGCGAAGGCGGUUCUCUGGGCCUUACCUGACGCUGAGGAGCGAAAGCGUGGGGAGCAAACAGG